CUGAUGUGUGUCCAGCUGCCUUACUCUUCUGCUACCAGGACUUCCCUGCUGUGAUGGACUGUACACUCUAACUUGCCUAUGGGAGCCACACUGGAAGAAGUUGGAGGGAAUGAGGAGAGAUGGCCGCUCUGUGGCAAUUGUCCUUGGCCCUGAGAACACCAGGCAUCAGGGAGUCCUUCAGCUGGACAUACCAUGAACAGACAUGUGAGGCAACUGCGCAUGACCCAAAGCUUGGAGCCCAGCCUGACCCAGCUGACCCACAGACCCC